rnacentral:snRNA from 1 species
GUGCUCGCUUCGGCAGCACGUAUACUAAAAUUGGUAUGAUAUAGAGAAGAUUAGCAUGGCCCCUCGCAAGGGAUGACACUCAAAUUUGUGAAGCAUUCCAUAUUUUU